rnacentral:rRNA from 1 species
GAACAGCACAUGCAGUCGAGCGAGGAAGCCCCUUCGGGGGUGGAAUAGCGGCGGACGGGUGAGUAACACGUGGGUAACCUGCCUCAAAGAGGGGGAUAGCCUCCCGAAAGGGAGAUUAAUACCGCAUAGAAGGUAAAAAUCGCAUGAUAAAUGCCUUAAAGGAGCAAUCCGCUUUGAGAUGGGCCCGCGUCGCAUUAGCUAGUUGGAGGGAUAAAAGCCCCCCAAGGCGACGAUGCGUAGCCGACCUGAGAGGGUGAACGGCCACAUUGGAACUGAGAUACGGUCCAGACUCCUACGGGAGGCAGCAGUGGGGAAUAUUGCACAAUGGGGGAAACCCUGAUGCAGCAACGCCGCGUGAGUGAAGAAGGUUUUCGGAUCGUAAAGCUCUGUCAUCCGGGACGAUAAUGACGGUACCGGAAGAGGAAGCCACGGCUAACUACGUGCCAGCAGCCGCGGUAAUACGUAGGUGGCGAGCGUUGUCCGGAAUUACUGGGCGUAAAGGGUGUGCAGGCGGAUAUUUAAGUGAGAUGUGAAAGACCCGGGCUUAACCCGGGCAGUGCAUUUCAAACUGGAUAUCUAGAGUGCAGGAGAGGAGAACGGAAUUCCUAGUGUAGCGGUGAAAUGCGUAGAGAUUAGGAAGAACACCAGUGGCGAAGGCGGUUCUCUGGACUGUAACUGACGCUGAGGCACGAAAGCGUGGGUAGCAAACAGGAUUAGAUACCCUGGUAGUCCACGCCGUAAACGAUGAGUACUAGGUGUAGGGGGUAUCGACCCCCCCUGUGCCGCAGUAAACACAAUAAGUACUCCGCCUGGGAAGUACGAUCGCAAGAUUAAAACUCAAAGGAAUUGACGGGGACCCGCACAAGCAGCGGAGCAUGUGGUUUAAUUCGAAGCAACGCGAAGAACCUUACCUGGACUUGACAUCCCCUGAAUGACUCGUAAUGGGAGGAAGCUCUACGGGGCAGGAGACAGGUGGUGCAUGGUUGUCGUCAGCUCGUGUCGUGAGAUGUUAGGUUAAGUCCUG